GUGGAUUGUUUAUAAAAGUGCGUGAUCAGUAUUUUAGGGCACUCGUUAAUAAUAUAUAUAUAUUUUUAUAAUCUUAUUAUUAACUAGACCAAAGUUCUAUGAAUGAGUAAAGAUUUGGUUGUAUUUUUUAGGAGAUCUUGAAUUAAAGAUGUGAAGGUAGCAUUUUUGUACUUUUUCUUCCUUCUUUCUUUAUGGGUGAUAUAAAUUAGGUCAUUGUAGUGACCAUUUGAGCUAUUUCAACUGUUCAUUUCCUGAAUUUCUAUGCUAGACUUGUCUUUCUUUUCUUUUUUUUGGGUGAUUUUCAAGGUUUAUGGGAGAGAAAUGCUUUUGAUUUAAAAAGUUGUGUUGGAUUGGAUUGGGUACACUGUGCAAGACUUGUGAGUAUUGUUACCAUAUCUCUUUAACUGUUUGCAGAUGUUUGGUUUUGGUACUUCUAAAUUUUGAAAUUGCCAAAUUGAUGGGAUGAAAGCUUUGAAACAUAUAUUGGCCCAUUUGGUAACGUAGUUUUCUAUUAAUGUAGAUAGAUUAUAAAAAAAUUAAAGAAAAAUUCCUUGGAUAUCUAUUUUGGUUUUCAAAACCUUUGUAAAGAAUUUACAAAAUUUAUUAAAUUCUUUUAACUACAAAACAAAAAAAAAUAAAACCAAAAAUCAAAAAUUGUUUUCAUUUUUUUCCUUUUCCAACCCUCUCUACACUUCAUCAGCUACUAGAUUCGGCCACCCCAACCUCCACCUCUGAUGAUCAUUAUUGGUGUUAGAAUAUUGUAUAAAUAUAGUGUUUGCUUUCGGCUGUUAGAAUAUUGUAUAAAUAUAGUGUUUGCUUUCGGUGUUAGAAUAGCUUUAGCAUAGCAGACUUCAUUAUAUUAUUAAUUGUAUAGUGUCCUUUCUCUCUCUAUAAAGAGAGCCUUCAUCCCUUUGUAAAUCACACAACAUAAUACAAACAUUUCAGAGUCUCUCUCUCACUCUAUAGCUUCUCUCACUCUCUCAAACUAAUCUUUCAA